GGUUAAGCGACUAAGCGUACACGGUGGAUGCCCUGGCAGUCAGAGGCGAUGAAGGACGUGCUAAUCUGCGAUAAGCGUCGGUAAGGUGAUAUGAACCGUUAUAACCGGCGAUUUCCGAAUGGGGAAACCCAGUGUGAUUCGUCACACUAUCAUUAACUGAAUCCAUAGGUUAAUGAGGCGAACCGGGGGAACUGAAACAUCUAAGUACCCCGAGGAAAAGAAAUCAACCGAGAUUCCCCCAGUAGCGGCGAGCGAACGGGGAGCAGCCCAGAGCCUGAAUCAGUGUGUGUGUUAGUGGAAGCGUCUGGAAAGGCGUGCGAUACAGGGUGACAGCCCCGUACACAAAAAUGCACAUACUGUGAGCUCGAUGAGUAGGGCGGGACACGUGGUAUCCUGUCUGAAUAUGGGGGGACCAUCCUCCAAGGCUAAAUACUCCUGACUGACCGAUAGUGAACCAGUACCGUGAGGGAAAGGCGAAAAGAACCCCGGCGAGGGGAGUGAAAAAGAACCUGAAACCGUGUACGUACAAGCAGUGGGAGCACAGAGCAAUCUGUGUGACUGCGUACCUUUUGUAUAAUGGGUCAGCGACUUAUAUUCUGUAGCAAGGUUAACCGAAUAGGGGAGCCGAAGGGAAACCGAGUCUUAACUGGGCGUUAAGUUGCAGGGUAUAGACCCGAAACCCGGUGAUCUAGCCAUGGGCAGGUUGAAGGUUGGGUAACACUAACUGGAGGACCGAACCGACUAAUGUUGAAAAAUUAGCGGAUGACUUGUGGCUGGGGGUGAAAGGCCAAUCAAACCGGGAGAUAGCUGGUUCUCCCCGAAAGCUAUUUAGGUAGCGCCUCGUGAAUUCAUCUCCGGGGGUAGAGCACUGUUUCGGCAAGGGGGUCAUCCCGACUUACCAACCCGAUGCAAACUGCGAAUACCGGAGAAUGUUAUCACGGGAGACACACGGCGGGUGCUAACGUCCGUCGUGAAGAGGGAAACAACCCAGACCGCCAGCUAAGGUCCCAAAGUCAUGGUUAAGUGGGAAACGAUGUGGGAAGGCCCAGACAGCCAGGAUGUUGGCUUAGAAGCAGCCAUCAUUUAAAGAAAGCGUAAUAGCUCACUGGUCGAGUCGGCCUGCGCGGAAGAUGUAACGGGGCUAAACCAUGCACCGAAGCUGCGGCAGCGACGCUUAUGCGUUGUUGGGUAGGGGAGCGUUCUGUAAGCCUGCGAAGGUGUGCUGUGAGGCAUGCUGGAGGUAUCAGAAGUGCGAAUGCUGACAUAAGUAACGAUAAAGCGGGUGAAAAGCCCGCUCGCCGGAAGACCAAGGGUUCCUGUCCAACGUUAAUCGGGGCAGGGUGAGUCGACCCCUAAGGCGAGGCCGAAAGGCGUAGUCGAUGGGAAACAGGUUAAUAUUCCUGUACUUGGUGUUACUGCGAAGGGGGGACGGAGAAGGCUAUGUUGGCCGGGCGACGGUUGUCCCGGUUUAAGCGUGUAGGCUGGUUUUCCAGGCAAAUCCGGAAAAUCAAGGCUGAGGCGUGAUGACGAGGCACUACGGUGCUGAAGCAACAAAUGCCCUGCUUCCAGGAAAAGCCUCUAAGCAUCAGGUAACAUCAAAUCGUACCCCAAACCGACACAGGUGGUCAGGUAGAGAAUACCAAGGCGCUUGAGAGAACUCGGGUGAAGGAACUAGGCAAAAUGGUGCCGUAACUUCGGGAGAAGGCACGCUGAUAUGUAGGUGAAGUCCCUCGCGGAUGGAGCUGAAAUCAGUCGAAGAUACCAGCUGGCUGCAACUGUUUAUUAAAAACACAGCACUGUGCAAACACGAAAGUGGACGUAUACGGUGUGACGCCUGCCCGGUGCCGGAAGGUUAAUUGAUGGGGUCAGCGCAAGCGAAGCUCUUGAUCGAAGCCCCGGUAAACGGCGGCCGUAACUAUAACGGUCCUAAGGUAGCGAAAUUCCUUGUCGGGUAAGUUCCGACCUGCACGAAUGGCGUAAUGAUGGCCAGGCUGUCUCCACCCGAGACUCAGUGAAAUUGAACUCGCUGUGAAGAUGCAGUGUACCCGCGGCAAGACGGAAAGACCCCGUGAACCUUUACUAUAGCUUGACACUGAACAUUGAGCCUUGAUGUGUAGGAUAGGUGGGAGGCUUUGAAGUGUGGACGCCAGUCUGCAUGGAGCCGACCUUGAAAUACCACCCUUUAAUGUUUGAUGUUCUAACGUUGACCCGUAAUCCGGGUUGCGGACAGUGUCUGGUGGGUAGUUUGACUGGGGCGGUCUCCUCCUAAAGAGUAACGGAGGAGCACGAAGGUUGGCUAAUCCUGGUCGGACAUCAGGAGGUUAGUGCAAUGGCAUAAGCCAGCUUGACUGCGAGCGUGACGGCGCGAGCAGGUGCGAAAGCAGGUCAUAGUGAUCCGGUGGUUCUGAAUGGAAGGGCCAUCGCUCAACGGAUAAAAGGUACUCCGGGGAUAACAGGCUGAUACCGCCCAAGAGUUCAUAUCGACGGCGGUGUUUGGCACCUCGAUGUCGGCUCAUCACAUCCUGGGGCUGAAGUAGGUCCCAAGGGUAUGGCUGUUCGCCAUUUAAAGUGGUACGCGAGCUGGGUUUAGAACGUCGUGAGACAGUUCGGUCCCUAUCUGCCGUGGGCGCUGGAGAACUGAGGGGGGCUGCUCCUAGUACGAGAGGACCGGAGUGGACGCAUCACUGGUGUUCGGGUUGUCAUGCCAAUGGCACUGCCCGGUAGCUAAAUGCGGAAGAGAUAAGUGCUGAAAGCAUCUAAGCACGAAACUUGCCCCGAGAUGAGUUCUCCCUGACUCCUUGAGAGUCCUGAAGGAACGUUGAAGACGACGACGUUGAUAGGCCGGGUGUGUAAGCGCAGCGAUGCGUUGAGCUAACCGGUACUAAUGAACCGUGAGGCUUAACCUU
rnacentral:rRNA from 1 species